AUGUCCAUACAUGUAGGUAUGAGUGGGACUGGGUCCAUCUGUACAACAUGAAAAGACAGGUGCAAGACAAAAAGAGCAAACUCCAAAGGCGAGGUCAAACAAACACGAUAUCACCCCAAAACAUCCUUGUUGGUGGUCAUGACAGAGUGCAAACCAGCUCACAUGUUCUCUGACUGCAGCAUUCUUAUCUGUAUGUUUGCAGUAUGUAGAUUACUCACACCGUGUUACCUUGAAUUCUGGAAGAAAACUUUGUUUUUCUCGCAUGCCUCCACGGUGAAACGGAGAAUCAAAAAACAGAAGAAAGGUCUUGAUGCAUUGAAAUAAAUUGCGUCCAGGUUUAACAAUAACAAAACUAUAUCAAAACAUUUGUUUACAAACUCUCACUCAACUCGUGCAGUAUAAUCAAAGUCUCGUUUAUCCAGUCGUAUGCUCACUACUUCCCAAACACAUCCAUCUUCGCUAAAACCUUACUAUUCAAAACAGAUCCUCCACUAUCGUCUGUCUACCGGGUUGUUGUUAAAUGCAGCCUCCGUCUACUUCAAUUCAUCAAGAGUUUACUUAGUUUUUGGAUUCACCGUUCACUGUCAAGGCAUGCGAGAAAAACAAAGUUAUCUCCAAGAAUUCAAGCUCAGCAUGCCUGUGAUGGGACGUCUGACUGUGAAGGGGGCCUUGGACUGAAGGAAGCAUCGAUAGGCCCGACGUUCUCUCCCCCUUUUCCUGAGCGGUUCACGUGAG